rnacentral:rRNA from 1 species
AGUGAACGCUGGCGGUAGGCCUAACACAUGCAAGUCGAACGGCAGCACAGUAAGAGCUUGCUCUUACGGCUGCCGAGUGGCGGACGGGUGAGGAAUACAUCGGAAUCUACUUUUUCGUGGGGGAUAACGCAGGGAAACUUACGCUAAUACCGCAUACGACCUACGGGUGAAAGCAGGGGAUCUUCGGACCUUGCGCGAUUGAAUGAGCCGAUGUCGGAUUAGCUAGGUGGCGGGGUAAAGGCCCACCAAGGCGUCGAUCCGUAGCUGGUCUGAGAGGAUGAUCAGCCACACUGGAACUGAGACACGGUCCAGACUCCUACGGGAGGCAGCAGUGGGGAAUAUUGGACAAUGGGCGCAAGCCUGAUCCAGCCAUACCGCGUGGGUGAAGAAGGCCUUCGGGUUGUAAAGCCCUUUUGUUGGGAAAGAAAAGCAGCAGGUUAAUACCCCGCUGUUCUGACGGUACCAAAAGAAUAAGCACCGGCUAACUUCGUG